UCUCCGUAGGUGAACUUGCGGAGGGAUCAUUACUGAGUGAGGGCUCACGCCCGACCUCCAACCCUUUGUGAACCAAACUUGUUGCUUCGGGGGCGACCCUGCCGGCACUCGGUCGCCGGGCGCCCCCGAAGGUCUCCAAACACUGCAUCUUUGCGUCGGAGUUUAAGUAAAUUAAACAAAACUGUCAACAACGGAUCUCUUGGUUCCAGCAUCGAUGAAGAACGCAGC
rnacentral:misc_RNA from 1 species